UCGAAAACGUUGGAGGUUUUGUGCCGCGCCACUGACGGGAAGCCGUUGUUUGAAUCUACCAGAGCGGAUCGGACCGGAGAAUAAAAAAUAGGAACAACAAGCCGGAAGACGUCGAUGUUUCAUUGAGUCCGUGGGGAAGUACGAGGAUGAGGAAAAUGUGUUGAAAACGCACGGGACCGAGCGGGCUGAGAUUGAGGAGAUGAUGGCCAAAAAGCAGCGCCGGAACCGCGUGACUGAGGAUAAACCGAUUGGUCAAGGACACCCGCAGUGGCGAUAUCGUCCAGGAGUACGACUGUCAUCUAGGAUUGGUCAACUUCGUCAACGGAAACCGGCGCUUCGUGACGACCUCCAACGACAAAAGCUUGUGCUGUGAAUGCUCGCAGUCACCCCCCGUACGAUAAGAGGCUAGCCUCCCAGAGCUUAGACAACAAGGUUGUGAUCUUCAGCGCAAUUAACCUUCACCGGCUACAUUUGGACUUUCCCUUAACAUGAACCAGCUCGUGUCCAGCGAUGGCGCCGUCAGGGUUUACAUCUAUUUUAGGGCCUGUACGAGCAGCUAAGUGCAAACACUGACAUCAAACAUCGUGCGGAGAUUCUCUGGUUUCUUCUCCUUGCUGAUACAAAUGGUCACGCGGGCGCGUAGAAUCUGGACCCCCGUGGGGACAUGAGCAACCUCGACAACAACAGUAGCACUUUGCCGGCGUCGAUGCUCGUAGUGACGGAGUUCAACAAGGGUGGAAAUUUCCCGCCCGAGCUACCGGUUACGAAGAUCUGCACAGUGUUGCGGAUGGGCAGUAUUCCGUGAAAUAAACCGGCUCAAGUGCUGGAUGUGGUGCUGGCAGCAUUCAACAAGGGCGGCUACUCCAAGCUGGACGUUCCCGAGUCGCUGGUCUCGCGCAUCGAAAUGACUGGUUCAACAUGAUGCGCAAGAAGAUUACCCAGCCCCGACAUGUUCAACUUGAGUGGGAAAAGUUUGGGCCAGUUUGAAAUGUAAUUAUAAGAAAAAGAUGUAUUUAUUUUAUUUUAUUCAGUUUAAUUUCCUUCGGCAAAAGAUUAGUUUUUAAAUUUUCAAGUUUAACAGCACAACAAACUGUUGACAAUGGUGAAUACAAAACAAAGGCGAGGCAAAAAAAAUAGUUUUUAUUCCACUUUAUUUGUGAUUCGACAAACUAGUUAAAA